CUGGGGAAACCCAGGCUAAUACCGCAUACGUCCUACGGGAGAAAGGGGGCUCCGGCUCCCGCUAUGGGAUGAGCCUAUGUCGGAUUAGCUAGUUGGUGAGGUAACGGCUCACCAAGGCCACGAUCCGUAGCUGGUCUGAGAGGAUGAUCAGCCACAUCGGGACUGAGACACGGCCAGAACUCCUACGGGAGGCAGCAGUGGGGAAUAUUGGACAAUGGGGGCAACCCUGACCCAGCCAUGCCGCGUGUGUGAAGAAGGCCCUCGGGUUGUAAAGCACUUUCAGCGAGGAAGAACGCCUAGCGGUUAAUACCCGCUAGGAAAGACAUCACUCGCAGAAGAAGCACCGGCUAACUCCGUGCCAGCAGCCGCGGUAAUACGGAGGGUGCAAGCGUUAAUCGGAAUUACUGGGCGUAAAGCGCGCGUAGGUGGCUUGAUAAGCCGGUUGUGAAAGCCCCGGGCUCAACCUGGGAACGGCAUCCGGAACUGUCAAGCUAGAGUGCAGGAGAGGAAGGUAGAAUUCCCGGUGUAGCGGUGAAAUGCGUAGAGAUCGGGAGGAAUACCAGUGGCGAAGGCGGCCUUCUGGACUGACACUGACACUGAGGUGCGAAAGCGUGGGUAGCAAACAGGAUUAGAUACCCUGGUAGUCCACGCCGUAAACGAUGUCGACCAGCCGUUGGGUGCCUAGCGCACUUUGUGGCGAAGUUAACGCGAUAAGUCGACCGCCUGGGGAGUACGGCCGCAAGGUUAAAACUCAAAUGAAUUGACGGGGGCCCGCACAAGCGGUGGAGCAUGUGGUUUAAUUCGAUGCAACGCGAAGAACCUUACCUACUCUUGACAUCCUGCGAAUUUGGUAGAGAUACCUUAGUGCCUUCGGGAACGCAGAGACAGGUGCUGCAUGGCUGUCGUCAGCUCGUGUUGUGAAAUGUUGGGUUAAGUCCCGUAACGAGCGCAACCCUUGUCCUUAUUUGCCAGCGCGUAAUGGCGGGAACUCUAAGGAGACUGCCGGUGACAAACCGGAGGAAGGUGGGGACGACGUCAAGUCAUCAUGGCCCUUACGAGUAGGGCUACACACGUGCUACAAUGGUCGGUACAAAGGGUUGCCAACUCGCGAGAGUGAGUCAAUCCCGAAAAGCCGAUCUCAGUCCGGAUCGGAGUCUGCAACUCGACUCCGUGAAGUCGGAAUCGCUAGUAAUCGUGGAUCAGAAUGCCACGGUGAAUACGUUCCCGGGCCUUGUACACACCGCCCGUCACACCAUGG
rnacentral:rRNA from 1 species